GACGAACCGUGCAAACGUUAUUCGGAAUCACUGGGCAUAAAGGGCGCGUAGGCGGCUCCAAAAGUCAGGGGUGAAAUCCGGCAGCUUAACUGUCGCAGUGCCUUUGAUACUGUGGAGCUAGAGGGAGGUAGGGGUCUGUGGAACUUCCGGUGGAGCGGUGAAAUGCGUUGAUAUCGGAAGGAACGCCGGUGGCGAAAGCGACGGACUGGAUCUCUUCUGACGCUGAGGCGCGAAAGUCAGGGGAGCAAACGGG
rnacentral:rRNA from 1 species